rnacentral:rRNA from 1 species
GGGGAAUAUUGGACAAUGGGCGCAAGCCUGAUCCAGCCAUGCCGCGUGUGUGAUGAAGGCCUUAGGGUUGUAAAGCACUUUCACCGAUGAAGAUAAUGACGGUAGUCGGAGAAGAAGCCCCGGCUAACUUCGUGCCAGCAGCCGCGGUAAUACGAAGGGGGCUAGCGUUGUUCGGAAUUACUGGGCGUAAAGCGCACGUAGGCGGAUUGGUCAGUUAGGGGUGAAAUCCCAGGGCUCAACCCUGGAACUGCCUUUAAUACAGCCAGUCUUGAGUGCGAGAGAGGUGAGUGGAAUUCCGAGUGUAGAGGUGAAAUUCGUAGAUAUUCGGAGGAACACCAGUGGCGAAGGCGGCUCACUGGCUCGAUACUGACGCUGAGGUGCGAAAGCGUGGGGAGCAAAC